UACGUAGGGGGCAAGCGUUGUCCGGAAUCAUUGGGCGUAAAGAGCGUGUAGGCGGCUCGAUAAGUCUGCUGUGAAAGUCCAGGGCUCAACCCUGGAAGGCCGGUGGAAACUGUCGGGCUAGAGUCCGGAAGAGGCGAGUGGAAUUCCCGGUGUAGCGGUGAAAUGCGUAGAUAUCUGGAGGAACACCGGUGGCGAAGGCGGCAUCCUGGACCGGCAUUGACGCUGAGGCGCGAAAGCCAGGGGAGCAAACGGG
rnacentral:rRNA from 1 species